UCUAAUGAAAAACUACAAUUUGCUUACAGUGACAUCAAUUUUGCAUUGGAGUCAACAUCAUAUUUCCGAUAUUCUUAAUUAGUUAAAGAUUUUAAAAUGAAAUUUUGUAUUUUAAUUUUUCUUAUUGUUGCGAUAUUGGCCGCCUUAAGUCCUCUCGCUUCAGCUAGUCCAAUAUUUGAAAUUGAUCAAACAUAUAACGAACCGUUUAUCAAUUCUUUAUCCUGUAAAGCUAUUGGAGAGCCCUGUAAUAUUUCAGAUGAAUGCUGUAGCAAAAGAUGCCUCUUUUAUGCUCACAAAUGUGUGGGGAAGUGAAUUAUUAUUAUAUCACAAAUUUGAAUUAACUAUUGUCAAAAAAAUUAAUAGGUUAUUUCAAAAAAAAUCUAAAUUUCUCCAAAAUUUCUAAAUUCUUUAUGGUUCAGAUUUUAUCGAUGUACACUAUCGGACAAAAUAAAGUGCAAAAGUACUCAUGCUAUAUUCUUUCA